UAUUUAUUAAUAACCAACACAUAUAAAUUUAAUUUAAUGGAGAAAAAUGAUUAUAAAAACACCACUAUAUUAUUUGAAGCUAUACAAUUUUCCAUUGUAUUCAAGGUUUUAUAUAGGGCGCAUCAAAAAGAGUCAUCAAAACUAAGCAAAAAGACAGUAUUUGAAAGAGUAAAGUCUUCUCAUGUAUGAACGCAACAAGUACGAUAAUUUUUUAUUAUUUAUUAACGUCAAUUCGCGUCUGUAUAAUUUGCUCACGCAAGACGUUUUUGUGCAUUGGGUAAGCGUGCAAAAAAGAAAAAGAAAAAGUCACGUGCCCCUGAACGGGUUCGUGUGCUGGUCAUUUUUUCUUUUUCACUGUUUAUAUGAUGAUGAAUAAAAGAAGUAUAAAGUAAAAACAUUGUAAUCUUAUGCACACGCUUCAGGUACAUACUGCAUACUAUAUGUAUACACCAUAUAAAAAAAAAUAUAUAUAUUUUCAAUACCGUUAGACGAAAAGAAGGCGUAUAUUCUCGUCAUCAUUUUAGCAUCACAACAAAAGCUUGACUUGUGAUGUAUCCUUGGUAUCCUUGACGUUAUACCGAUUGGUAAGAAUAUGUAUAUGCAAUACUUGAAGACAUAUAGAAAUAAUAUAACACAAACAAGAUAAGUUAAAAGUGAAGAUGGCGGUAAGUUUGGUACAGUGGGGGAUUUAAGCCAGGAUUGGCGUCACGCUGUCGGGUACACCGGUUUCGAGUUGCUCCUUCUUUUUUUUAUUUAUUUUUUUUUUUUUAUAAUUCUUGUUUUUCCUUUCUUUUUUCUCUAUAUACUUUUUCGUUUUUUUUUUAUUAUUCUUCUCCGUCUUUUUCUUUUUAUUUUUCUUCUUAUUCUUGAGGUAGUUUUGCAUCAGCUUCAUGCAAGUCAACUGUUAACAAAUACGACCCAUACGACGACUACAACAACGACGAAGAAAACAAACUGGGUGUACGUAGUUUUACUGUCGUAUCAACGGGAUACAUCGGCAGUCUAGGCACAUGUGCCUGUAGUUCCUCUUUCAAAGUAAAAAAUCUAAAAUAAAAAAUAAAUAAAUAAUAGUAAACUAAAAAAAAAAAAACAAUUUAUAUAAAAAGAUAUAUUAGCUUUCAAAUAAGGAAGAGAAAAGAAUUGAGAAUUGAUGACAAGCCAAUUGAAUUAUGAUGAAAUUGAGACUUUUAAAAAAUAUAAAAUAAAAAAAAAAAAAUUUAUAUUGCAGAAGGACAUGAACAAGCAUGAGGGUUUGUGCAGUGGUUUUAUCUUGGCUUCUGAAUAUAUUGAAAAAUUAUAUAUAUUUGUUACAGAGGUUGCCAAAUGUAUUGAAAAUUUUGACCAGAAUUUAAUAUGGUGUUGGUAAAAGUUUUUGAAUAUAUAAUAUAUAAAGUACGAUAGGCUGUUUAUAAUAUGCCUCAAGAGUAAAACUUGUAUAUUGCAUGUGAAUGAGGAUGAAAAUAGAGGAUGUUCGCUUCAGCAUUACCCUCAUUUCUGGACUCUGCAGUAUCAGAAGAUGGAGAGAGUUGCAAGACCACGUUUUGUACACGGUAGCCCACGGGCAACACGCCCUGAUGUACGUGGGGAUGCUGUUAAUAACAUGCUAUGCAAUUUCGUAGUGGUUGUUUUGUGUGCUACCGGCCCUUUGGACAACGGCCUAUAUAUACCCAUAGCCUUUAUUUUUACUUGAGUGCUGACGCAAUAUGUCAGCUGAUUGACGAAUGAAGUGUGCUUGUUAUUCCAUUAACGGACAAUCAGCAAAGUUUAUAUCGUGAUUGAGUGUCCCAAUGAUCCAUCAUACGCAGAUUGACUUGUUACAACGGAAUUUCAUAAAAGUAAAAAAUUAAAAAAUGAAUAUUCUUCAGACAAAAAAAGACACUGGUGAUAUGUGUCCGUGUGGUUUAUCAGUCUUAUCUUGGGUCCAAAGAACCAGGCGAACGCGAGUAAAUCGAAAAAAAAACAAGGCAAACUUUAUACGUCGAAACGCAAGCAACACAAAACGAGGGUCAAAAUCCUUGCGCUUGGAAAGGAUGGGAUGCGCAGUGGAUAUUGUGAGAGGUUGAUGAUAAAGUGAGACGAAAAAUUGGAACCAAGACUACUGCGCGUUUAGCUGUGCCUGUAGUACUCCAACUUCAAGUUUGUCCAAUUUUAUUGCUGAAUAGAUGGAUAAUAUUAAAUGAAAUUGUUAGAUAUUAACAUUUAUAAUAGAAAUCAUUUUUAUGAUCUGUUAAAAUGUUUAACAAUUUUACCAGUUGUCUGUUCUUUAUCCAUAUACAUAUUACACUGAGAAAAUAUAAUGAGUUUACUUGUCUUCCAAAAUGGCGAGGCUAAUUAGACAUAGCAGUAUACCAGUGAAAUCCUAUGUGUAUCCUUCUCAAUGGGGAAUGACUGUAUAUCUAGAACACUGAAUGCAUUCAAAGUGUCAAUGCGGAAGGGAAGAAGAGUGUCUUUAUUAUUCUGCUGGAGAGUGAAGAGGUAGAAAAUAUUAUGCAAAGUCGAUUCUCGGACAAGAAGGACUCAAUAAUACGUCUCUUCUAUUUACCCGCUCAUCAGACUCAUGCUACUCGUCCCUACUAUGGGUUAUCUGCCACUCGAAGACAUCCAAUUCAACGUCGUUCAAAACCAUCCAAACAAAAAUCAGCAAAAUUAAAAACCCCACACUCCAAAAGACACACUGUUUCGUCUGUUUAAAAUUAUUUGAAUUUUCUUGUAUCACCAAUAUCAGAAAAUUAAAAAAAAUAAGUCAACAAAACAACAACAUACUGAUAGACAAAUAAAAAUAUAUUGAAAAUGUGAUUGUAUAUCGGACACAUGCAUAAACAAAAAAUAUGUUUCAAAACAAAACCUCGAAUCUUUCGUCAAGUCACGUUUUCAGGACAAACAAAGUUGAUAUGUGCUUGGGGCGAAUAUUUUGAUACUUCUUGAAAACAAAAAAUCUCGAUGAGUAAAACGUGGAUAAGUAGAAAAAAAUAAAAUACAAAGAAGGGGAAAAGAAAUCGAGAUUUUUCCACGGAAUAAUUCAGGGAAAAAAAAUAAAUAAGCAAAGGGGAGUAUUCUUUUGGAUCAAAACACAAAGUAAUUAUAGGGCCCUGCUCUCAAUCGCCUCAUAUCCUCCCCUCUUUAUAUUGUAUCUUUAUAUACUCCUUUUAUUUAUUAUUUUUUUUCAUGGCCUCUUGUGGACGACUAUACAACAUCCCACUAUAUUCUGGAUUUACCAGCCGACCUUGGACACCAUCAACAAAAUGAAGCUUUUUGGAGCUCUUUGAAAAAUGAAAAGACAGUCAAAAGUACAUGAACGAUUCAUUUGAUUUUAAUUAUUUUAAAUCAUCUAGAGGACUUGUAGUCAAUAUAAAAAAAAAGACGAUUGUAAACUUAUAUUUUCCCAGGAUUAUAUCAGAAGUUGUUAAUCGACGCAGCUACCGUUGAGAUGAACAGAAAAAAAUAUAACAAAUGUACAGACUAAACCGCAAUGAAGCCUUCAGAUAAUCAUCGUUGAACGAAAAAAUAAGGUUUCAGAUUUGCUCAGUGUAGAUGGCUACCGUUCAUCCAUAACCAUUUGGAAGUAUCGCUGAGGGGCCCAUUAAUGUUGUGAGACCGGUUACCACCAGCUCUUGAGUCUUCAGCUAAACUUGAUGACUGAUGAGGAAGCAACUGAAAUGAAAAAAAUAAAAAUACACAUGAAGAAGCAAAAAAUAAUCAGAUAAAUAGCCACUGGGUUUACGCGGGUCUCCAUGGUAACCUCAAGAAACUAGCCACGAGAGACGCGUGUCAAAGCUAAAUAAUGUAUAAUACAUGUAUAUAUAUAUUGUUGGCUUUGUGAGCAAAACCAAGUAGUGGCACUGUGGCAGAUCAGCGCAGAAUUAAACUUUUAAAUAUAUUAUAUGAAGAAUAUCAACUUUCGCUGUCGGAGCGUCAAUGCCAUUGGUUUCUUCGUUCAACGAAUCAUUGUAUAUUCAUCAUUAAGAUUUCUCGAUUGAAGAUGGAAAAAGAUGGGGUAAAUAAAUGAAAUUUAAAAAAAUAUUUAAAAAGAUUAUAGCAGUGGAUGUGUAUUAAAACGAUUAUGUCCACUUCAGCAUUGAUAAGUUGGUGGGGAAAUUACGAUGCAGGUGUUGGCCUUGAUAGUUUACACAUGCAAUAAAAAAAUAAAAUGAAAAAGAAAUAUAUAUUUUCAUGUAUGUACAUUGACACAAUCAACAUUAUGUCUAAAUAAAAAAUGGCAAACAAUUUUUUGAAAAGAAGAAUCUUAUAUUACAUCUGAAAAUUAUCUAAACAAAAUUGAAUAUAAAAAAUUCGAUAAACAGAAAUCAUUGUGGCUGCUGGUGUUUUGCCUGUAUGAGGUCAAGAUGGUAAUAAAAAUAAACGAGCCACUCCUGUGACGAUUACCACAUCUGAUUUUAGAUUCUAUCUGCAGAGACACUAUCUGAUCUUAGUGAUAAUUUGCAAUACUCAAUAGAUGCAUAAGCUUUCGUGUCUCAUAUAUAGAAAUUGAUAUCUCAUACAAAAUUAAUGAAUAGGAAAAAAAAAACACCAAGAAAUUAAUUAAUAAUCAUAAAAAUUAAAAUGAAAAAAAAAAAAAUUAAAGCUUAUGGUUCAGUUGUCACUUAAGCAUAAUUAUACAUACAUUAGAUACACUUUAGAACCAGUGUUAUUGCGCACAAUUGUAUGACAAAAAUAUAUAUUUAUAUAUAUCAAAUACAUACAUGACAAGUACAUAUAUUUGAUAUAUAUAUGUAGCAAUAUAUCAAAUCUUACAGAACACAUAAAACUAUAGCACGAGCUCUGUACUUUCUCUGUUAUUAUAAGCUUAUUGUAAUUUAAUAACAAUGUUGCUACCUUUUUAUUCGUUGUUAUUUAAACGGAUAUAUAUACGCAACACUUGAAAUAUUAAAACACAUACAGCAUAAAAAUUUAAUUUACAAUUGCCAUGAAAUUGCAGUGUUUUUUUUUUUUUUUUUAUUUUCAAAUAUUUAAAAUAAUUAAAUUCAAUUUAAUUUUCUCAAUAAAAGCCAAUGAACUUUUUUUUUCUACGUAAUACAAAAUUAUUAAUUUAUUUUUUUUCACAUUAGUAUCUACUUUAAUGGCAACACAAAAAACAAUCUAUAUAUAUAUAUAUCAAUUGAAAAUAUAAAAAAAUAAAUUAAUCAUCUCAAUAAAAAUCAAAUAUUAUUUAUUAUAUUAUGAAAUUUAUUAAGAAUAUCACUUGGGUAAAAAUUGUAUAUUAAUAAUUGUCUCAUAAAUUAUAAAUUGAAAGUUUUCAAUGAGAACAAGAUCAUGUAUAGUUUUUUGUGACGUCAUAUACAGUGUGACCACGUGCUGAAGACGAUAACAAGUUAACGUGAGUAGUAUAGUAGCUUUCAAUACGAUACGCGAGAAUCAAGUUUUAUUUUUUAUAUUUGUUUAUUUAUUUUUUUUUAUUUACUAACUCUUCGACCACUGCACUUUUGUAUCGUAUGUUUGUAUCAUAUACAUAUAUUGCUUACUAAAUAAAUGUAUACAUGAAGCGUGACCCACGGAUCAAGGACGAUUUUACUCGCAGGGUGAUAGAGAUGGUGGUGGUGGAGAAGGAGGUUGUUGUGUAGCCACGACGACAACGACAAGACACGACGAUAGUCAAACAAAUAAAAAAGACACCAAUAACAACCAUACUACAAUAAUCAACAAGUGGUGCUGGUUUCUAUUCAUCUGGUAAAUUGCAAUAAAAAGCAUCAAUAAUGGUAGACCAAAAGCUCGAUGAAAACAAAUAAUAAUGAAAAAAAAAAAAAAGAAGAAAUUUGCAAGGAGAAAAUAAAUUUAAAAAACACACACACAAGUGUAUAUGAAGUUUAUAAUACAUUGCGUGUCUAUUGCACUGGAAAAAAAUAUGAGAAAAAAAAAAUAUACACUUGAUUUUUAUUGGCAUCUUGCUCAGACUGAUGCUUGAUAUGUAUGAUAUGAUCUUGCUCAUAUAUAUACGCGUCAGAUGAUAGAGGAGGAAGAAAAAAAAUAAAAUAAAAUAAUAAAUAAAUAAAUUAAAAAAACUGGCGAAUGACCGGGACUCACUUGCAUAUGUAUGUAAUCACAUACACACACAAAUAAACUUAAUCAACCGCAAAAGCAAGACGACGAGAAUUGCGAGAGUAUAUUAAAGAGUAAGAGAGUUGAAUUUAUAU
rnacentral:lncRNA from 1 species